CUCACUCUCUCGUUCUUUCAUCUCAUUCUCUAGCAAUCAGUGAUCGGCCGGCGAGACAGCCGAUGGUGAUCGAAUCAGGUUCGCCUUUGCAACACAUUCGGUUGAUCCAAUUAAUUCCAGAUCGAGAUCGUACGACCUCGCUCUCAAAUUCGAUCCGCCCAAUUUCAAAGGUCACAGAAGAGACUGCUGGGGUUAUGGAGCGUUGGUUUGAGUCUGAAAGGGCUGCAGAGGUUGGGGAGGUGAAUUGGGACGUGGGUAAGGUGAGGGAAGAGGUUGUGAAGGGAGGAGGGGGUGGCAUGGACAAGGGUGGCUCAGAAAUGGGAAUUUGAGAGUUACGAGGAUGCAAAUGGAUGAAAUGGGUGUGUGCCUAUCGUGUGGAGAGAAGCUUGUUAGCAUUGAUAUUGAUCCUAAAGAGACUGAAAACUUCACUGCUUCAUUGACCAAUUUGGUAUGCCAAAGAGAGGUUAAGUCUGAUUUUAUGCAGUUUCAGGGGUGGGGUUUGAGACUGCAAUCUGCCCCUAAUGGCUGCCAAGGUACUGCUAGGCCUGAGAGACUUGUUUGAAAAUGAUCAAUGUACUUGUAAUUGUAUUGUUGAAAAUGUAUUCAAUGUCUUCGUCAAAGGCCCAUAUUUGCUGCUUGUGUAUGGUUCAAGCGAUUAAUACUUAAAAAGAAUGGCAUUCUGACUAACUUAGAAGGUGCACUCAUUCAGGAGUGGCUUCAGCGACACGAUCCAUUUGAUGUAGUUAUAGAUGGUGCAAAUGUGGGGCUUAUUAAUAGGCAUAAUUUCAACUUUUCCCAGCUUAAUUCUAUUGUAAAUCAGUUACAUCAAAUGAGGCCGUCAAAGAGAUUACUACUUCUUGUUUUGCAUAAAAGUCAUGUUACUGGUGGUCCAGCGCAGAGUCAUAACAACAAGAAGCUGUUAGAGAAUUGGAAAAGGUCUGGUGCACUUUAUGCUACUCCUACCGGUUCAAAUGAUGAUUGAGGUUUCGCUUUCCUUCCUAUUUGUGCCCAAUAAAGCGUGUGGAUUGUUGGACUAUAUGGAGGUUCUGCUUUCCUUUCGGCUAGCCACCGGUAAAGUGUGGCACUUUGAGGUAAGUUCCAGAUUUCCUUCCAAAUUAGUGCUUGGUAAACUGUGUUGGAAUGACAAAACGAAGCCGGUUGUUAAUUGUGUUGUGUUCGUCACUUGGUUGCAUGAUUGUGUAGAUAUGUGUGCUAUGGUGAAAUUGUGUUGGAGAUUGAAAGCGUGUAAUUGAGAUAAUUUUGUAAUGAAUUGAAUGCUAUCGCUUGUCUAUAUGUUAGAUGUUGGUAUGCACAAUUGGUGUUUUAUUGAUUGUAGUAACAGUUGAUUGUGAAAUUAUUGUUUUUGGGUUAAAGAUUAGUAUGAGUGUGUGAUUGAUUGGUUUAAAACUUCUUUCUAAAGUAAAGGAGAUAUUGAAGCAUUUCAUUUAAAUUGCUAAUGAUAAGGUGAAAAGAUAAUAAAUAACUUUUUACUUGAAAUGUUAAGUGGAAUAUUUUCUUCUUUUUUUUAUUUAUUUAUUUUUAAAUGAAAGUAUAUAUUCAUGUAUGUUUUAUUUUGGAUAUAAAAGAGCACGUUACUUAUCUAAAUAUCACCUGAUAGUAUUCAUAAUCACAUAUAUCUAUAGAUCUCAUUAUUUUGCAUCAUUGUAAAUCCCUACUGGACCUUGUGCUCAUCUCAAUCGUUAAAUCAUUGUUUAGGUGUGGAGUUUGUUGUCUCGUUCAAGAAUUCAAGGAGUUAGGUUACUGAUGAUUCGAGAUUUGUUACUCACUGGUGAAAAUGCCAAUGUGUUAUUACUCUCUUUAUUAUAAUUAUUGCAUUUUUGAAAUUCUCAAUGUAAGCCUAAGGGCAUAUUUUGUAAUGAUCCGUACUAAACUUGUACCAUUGUAUAUAUGCGAGAGGGAACCUUGAAUAUCCUAUGUAUUUUGUUUUGCUUCUGCAUUUUAUUAUUUCAUAAAUGGACCUUAAUAUGAAACUUGAUAAUAUUAUCCGAUUAAUAAAAGUUGGAGGAUUACAACUUGACAACAAAAAUAAAUCAUUUCUUGGUCAGCUAAUGAAGUAGACAUAACUUGCCAACAAAAAUAAGCAAAUACUUGAUAUGCUUUUUCUUGUGAGUCAAGGAAUUUGAAAAUUUUAUAAUCCGAACUGGUUCGGGCUGGUCCAGUUUAGUUCAGUCCAAUUCGAUAGGUUUUGACUAAUUUUUUGAAUUCGUGAUUUGAUUCUGGUUUGGAAAACUAGGAAAUUGAUCUUUUCAGAUCAGUUUCAGAUUGAGUUCACAGUUCUGAAUUAGAAAUGAACCAAACCAUAUGUAACUUAAACCAUAUACAUACCAUACACCUUGUGCAUUCAAUCCUACCAUCUUAUAUACAAAACCCUAAUGUUAUUUUUUUUUUAUUUUAAUUAUUUAGCAUAAUUUUAGUUUUGUAAUUGUUGUUGCCAAGACAAAAUGCUUGUUUGAUGGGAGUUUUAUGUUUGCUACAUGUUAAACAAUAUGUUUAUUUACUAAAUAUUAUGUUUGUUUAAGUUAUGUUUCAAAAAAUCAUGGGCAAAUUAAUGUUAAACAAUUUAUGAUAGGUUUAAUUUUUUUGAAGAUGUUAUAUGAUUUUUUUUGUGUGGAUAUAUUAUGUAAAACUGUUGUUCCAAACCAAGUCGAAUUGUCUUAAAUGAUUUGAUUGGAAUUGGUUCCUUGAUUAAAUACAUUGGUUUGGUUCUAAUUUUUAUGAAACCGUAAAUAACAGAUUAGUCCUAGUUUUAUCUCCCACCAAACCAAUCCGAAUUAUGCUCACCCAAAAGAAAAGACCAAUUACUUGUACUAUGAGAGAAAGUGAGUGUAACAACCCUCACUCUGUCUUAGUCAUGCUCAUAUGCAUUUAUAUGAUUUUGCCUAGUUAAGUUUGUACCUGCAGACUUUGAUUCGUUUUGCCUAGGUAAAGGUUCUUGUCUUGUUUUGUGCUAUCAUGUUUUGCCUAAGUAUUAUAUGCAUGCUUUGUUCCUUGCUUGGUGUGUCAAGCCUAGGUCAUGUCAUGCUCAUAUGCAUUUAUAUGAUUUUUCCUAAUUAAGUUUUUACCUGCAGACUUUGAUUCGUUUUGCCUAAGUAAAGGUUCUUGUCUUGUUUUGUGCUAACAUGUUUUGUCUAAGUAUUAUAUGCAUGCUUUGUUCCUUG